AUGUCUACAGGUUCUGUCCCUAUGGGAUCCAAGCUCCAGGAGCCAUGUCCCUUUGGCCAGUGGACUGUCCAGCCGGCUACUACUGCCCUUUGGGCACCCAGAGCCCCACCCAGCACCCUUGUCCCAGGGGCACCUUCAGGGAGAGGCCUGGCGCACGCAGCACUCAGGACUGCAGGCCCUGCCCUGCUGGACAGUUCUGCUUGGACUCAGGGGCUGGGAAACGCUUCCCGGACGGGCCAUGCUCGGCAGGUUACUACUGUCCCCCUGGCCAGACCUCAGCCACCCCUUCAUCUUUCCGGUGCCCUCCCGGCUUCUCCUGUCCAGAAGGUUCUCCCCAGCCGAGGGCCUGUGAGAAUGGAACAUUCCAGCCCCGGGAGGCCCAGGGGUCCUGUGAGCCCUGUCCUGCUGGGUUCUACUGCCAGGCCUCAGGCACAGGUCCCUCUGCCAGAGCCCCCAAACCAUGCAUCCAGGGUUACUUCUGCCCCCCCGGCUCCCACUCAGCCACUGCCCACCCGUGCCCUAGAGGGACCUUCGGGCCCAGGCAAGGGGCCGCUGCAGAGCUGGACUGUGAGUUGUGCCCAGCAGGUUGGUGAACUCUGGACAGGAGCCCUCAGGAAGCCUGACUAAGAGGCUGGGAGAGAACAGGAAGAGUAGAAAAGGCAGCAGGAAGUUCCUGAGAGUAAGGGCCUGGCCCCUGGCCGUUGUCAGGGCAGCACCUGGAAAGUCCAGGUCCAC
ensembl:lncRNA